rnacentral:rRNA from 1 species
AUUGAACGCUAGCGGGAUGCCUUACACAUGCAAGUCGAACGGAGUGGCGAACGGGUGAGUAAUGUAUCGGAACGUGCACAGUAGCGGGGGAUAACUACGAGAAAGCGUAGCUAAUACCGCAUACUAUUGGAGCGGCCGAUAUCGGAUGAUCUAGUUGGUGGGGUAAAGGCUCAACAAGGCGUCGAUCCGUAGCUGGUUUGAGAGGACUACCAGCCAAACUGGGACUGAGACACGGCCCAGACUCCUACGGGAGGCAGCAGUGGGGAAUUUUGGACAAUGGGGGAAACCCUGAUGCAGCCAUCCCGCGUUUGCGAUGAAGGCCUUCGGGUUGUAAAGCACUUUUGGCAUGAAAGCGGUACCUGCAGAAUAAGCACCGGCUAACUACGUGCCAGCAGCCGCGGUAAUAC